CAGUAGCCACGGUAAUACGAAAGGUCCAAGCGUUACUCGGAAUUACUGGGCGUAAAGCGCGCGUAGGCGGUCUUGUAUGUCGAUUGUGAAAGCCCCGGGCUCAACCUGGGAACUGCAGCCGAAACUGCAAGACUUGAAUGUUGGAGAGGUUGGGGGAAUACCUAGUGGAGAAGUGAAAUUCGUAGAGAUUAGGUGGAACACCAGAGGCGAAGGCGCCUGACUGGCCAAACAUUGACGCUAAGGCGCGAAAGCGUGGGUAGCAAACAGGAUUAGAGACCCCCGUAGUCCCUGUCUCUUAUAC
rnacentral:rRNA from 1 species